CCAACGGCCCUCUUUAGGGUCACAGACAGUUCCGAAUACGUAAUG
rfam:Angiostrongylus costaricensis strain Costa Rica genome assembly, scaffold: ACOC_scaffold0000294